UACGGAGGGCGCAAGCGUUACUCGGAAUUAUUGGGCGUAAAGGGCGCGUAGGCGAUUUGAAAAGUCUUGUGUGAAAGCCCCGAGCUUAACUCGGGAAGUGCACAAGAAACUGUUGAAUUUGAGUUCCGGAGAGGAAGGCAGAAUUCCCGGUGUAGCGGUGAAAUGCGUAGAUAUCGGGAGGAAUACCAGUGGCGAAGGCGGCCUUCUGGACGGAUACUGACGCUGAGGCGCGAAAGCCAGGGGAGCAAACGGG
rnacentral:rRNA from 1 species